rnacentral:ncRNA from 1 species
ACAAAUGCUAAUGACCAACUAAUAUCCAUGGAGUUCAACAACAGCUAGAAACAAUUUCUAAUACCAUGUAGGCUAUGGAGCAAAAGGAAAAAUCCGCUCGAGAAAGGGUUCGUGUCUGAUUAGCUAGUUAGUGAGUUAAUAGUUUACCAAAGCAAUGAUCAGUAGCUAAUUCGAGAGGAUAAUUAGCCACACUAGGACUCAGUCAGAGGCCAAACUCCUACAAGCG